rnacentral:rRNA from 1 species
GACGAACGCUGGCGGCGUGCUUAACACAUGCAAGUCGAGCGGUAAGGCCCUUUCGGGGGUACACGAGCGGCGAACGGGUGAGUAACACGUGGGUGACCUGCCUUCAGCUCUGGGAUAAGCCUGGGAAACUGGGUCUAAUACCGGAUAUGACUCCAUGAUGCAUGUUGUGGGGUGGAAAGCUUUUGCGGCUGGAGAUGGGCCCGCGGCCUAUCAGCUUGUUGGUGGGGUGAGGCCUACCAAGGCGACGACGGGUAGCCGGCCUGAGAGGGCGACCGGCCACACUGGGACUGAGACACGGCCCAGACUCCACGGGAGGCAGCAGUGGGGAAUCUUGCGCAAUGGGCGAAAGCCUGACGCAGCGACGCCGCGUGAGGGAUGACGGCCU